UCCAUGAUUUUCACACACCCCAAAGGUAUCUUAAUGCUCUAUAAUUCAUAAAAAUUUCAAGAAGAAAUUCAUCUUAAAUCAAGAGACAUGAAGAAUCUUUAUCUAGGUCAAAUAUCUAGUCAAGGAAAAUCCAAACAGGGCAAGACAAGUGGUGCCCAACUCUUGGGUGCCCCCUCUUUCUUUUUAUACCAUGGACUACCAGAAAAGGGCACACAAUAUGUGCCAUAAAAUACACAAAAAGUCUAAAAAAAAUUUGGAUAAAAUCAGUGCCAUAAGGAAAGAGUUUUGGUUUCCUAAAAUUCUAUCUCAUAGAAUUUGAAAUUCAAACUAAUUUCUACUUUGACUUCGUCCACAACCACAUUCAAUGUAAGAGAGAAAGAGUGGAAAGCUUUGGGCAUGCAUGAAGGCC
rnacentral:lncRNA from 1 species